rnacentral:rRNA from 1 species
GUCCACGCCAUAAACGAUGAAUACUAGGUGUUGGCGGUGUUAAAACCGUCGGUACCGCAGCUAACGCGUUAAGUAUUCCGCCUGGGGAGUACGACCGCAAGGUUAAAACUCAAAGGAAUUGACGGGGGCCCGCACAAGCAGCGGAGCGUGUGGUUUAAUUCGAUGCAACGCGAAACACCUUACCUGGAUUUGACGUGUGCGUAGUAGUGAAGCGAAAGCGGAACGACCCUUCGGGGAGCGCAUGCAGGUGCUGCAUGGCUGUCGU